GAUGGUGAACUAUGCCUGGUCAGGUCGAAGUCAGGGGAAACCCUGAUGGAGGACCGUAGCGAUUCUGACGUGCAAAUCGAUCGUCGGAACUGGGUAUAGGGGCGAAAGACUAAUCGAACCAUCUAGUAGCUGGUUCCGUCCGAAGUUUCCCUCAGGAUAGCUGGCGUCGAUUUGGAACAGUCUCAUCCGGUAAAGCGAAUGAUUAGAGGCAUUGGGGCCGAAACGACCUCAACCUAUUCUCAAACUUUAAAUGGGUGAGAACUCCGGCUUACUCGAACGAUGAAGCCGGAGAUCUGAUGACGGUGCCAAGUGGGCCAAUUUUGGUAAGCAGAACUGGGGCUGUGGGAUGAACCAAACGUAGUGUUAAGGCGCCUAAAAAACGCUCAU
rnacentral:rRNA from 1 species